rnacentral:rRNA from 1 species
AACGAACGCUGGCGGCAUGCCUAAUACAUGCAAGUCGAACGAUCACUUCGGUGGUAGUGGCGCCCGGGUGCGUAACACGUGGGAAUCUGCCCUUGGGUUCGGAAUAACAUCGGGAAACGGAUGCUAAUACCGGAUGAUGACGUAAGUCCAAAGAUUUAUCGCCCAGGGAUGAGCCCGCGUAGGAUUAGCUAGUUGGUGGGGUAAAGGCCUACCAAGGCGACGAUCCUUAGCUGGUCUGAGAGGAUGAUCAGCCACACUGGGACUGAGACACGGCCCAGACUCCUACGGGAGGCAGCAGUAGGGAAUAUUGGACAAUGGGGGCAACCCUGAUCCAGCAAUGCCGCGUGAGUGAUGAAGGCCUUAGGGUUGUAAAGCUCUUUUACCCGGGAUGAUAAUGACAGUACCGGGAUAAUAAGCCCCGGCUAACUCCGUGCCAGCAGCCGCCGUAA